rnacentral:lncRNA from 1 species
AAAUUCAUUGGUAUAAGACCAAAGCUUCUAAUCAUUUAAAUAGAGUCUAAGUUUGAAAUCACAAGCAAAGAAGAUCUUUGAAAAGGGGGAGAGAUUUUGAAAUUUAAGAAGUGGGAGGAGAUGAAGAGACCAAUCCUAAGCAUAAAUUUAAAAGUUAAGAGUUGAAAAGAUCUGACCAAUGGGAUGCGAUCCAUCAUACAAGAAUGUCAUAUAGAAAACC